rnacentral:ncRNA from 1 species
GCCCCAUUCAGAGCGGCUGAGAGAUCUGGCUCGACGACGCCGCAGCAACCCGCCCUCCACCGGGGUCAGGGUGCUAAUGCCAGAACCGAUGGAGA